AUCUACAACCAUACCACCCUGAAUGCACCCAAUCUCAUCUGAUCUCGGAAGCUAAGUAGGGUAGGACCUGGUUAGUCCUUGGAUGGGAGACCGCCUAGGAAUACUACAUGCUGUAGGCU
ensembl:rRNA 5S_rRNA 5S ribosomal RNA